GACGAACGCUGGCGGCGUGCUUAACACAUGCAAGUCGAGCGGAGCGGCGAACGGGUGAGUAACGCGUGAGUAACCGCCCCCCUCUCUGGGCUAACAGUUGGAAACGGCUGCUAAUACCGGAUAUUGGGGGUUGACUCGCGUCCUAUCCGCUUGUUGGUGGGGUAGUGGCCUACCAAGGCGACGACGGGUAGCCGGCCUGGUUGGGCGAACGGCGACAUUGGGCUGAGAGAGGGCCCAAACUCGUACGGGAGGCAGCAGUGGGGAAUAUUGCACAAUAGUGGAAACCCUGAGGCAGAAACGCCGCGUGCGGGAUGAAGGCCUUCGGGUUGUAAACCGCUUUCAGCCAUGACGCGGUAGUGGCAGAAGAAGCACCGGCUAACUACGUGCCAGCAGCCGCGGUAAUUC
rnacentral:rRNA from 1 species